UACGGAGGGGGCUAGCGUUGUUCGGAAUUACUGGGCGUAAAGCGCACGUAGGCGGGUGUGCCAGUCUGGGGUGAAAUCACGAGGCUCAACCUUGGAACUGCCUCCGAUACAGGACGUCUCGAGUCCGGAAGAGGUCGGUGGAAUUCCUAGUGUAGAGGUGAAAUUCGUAGAUAUUAGGAAGAACACCAGUGGCGAAGGCGGCCCACGGGACCGGUAGUGACUAUGAGGUGCGAAAGCGUGGGGAGCAAACAGG
rnacentral:rRNA from 1 species